UACGGGGGGGGGCAAGCGUUGUUCGGAAUCACUGGGCUUAAAGGGCGCGUAGGCGGGCAAGCAAGUCCGGGGUGAAAGCUUUCGGCUCAACCGGAAAAGGGCCUUGGAUACUGCUUGUCCGGAGGGAGGUAGGGGCCCGUGGAACUUCCGGUGGAGCGGUGAAAUGCGUUGAUAUCGGAAGGAACGCCGGUGGCGAAAGCGACGGGCUGGAUCUCUACUGACGCUGAGGCGCGAAAGCCAGGGGAGCAAACGGG
rnacentral:rRNA from 1 species